rnacentral:tRNA from 1 species
GUAGCGAUGUCCGAGUUAUUAGGGAGUUGGACUUGAAGUCUAAUGGGAAUUGAUCGCGCAGGUUGAAGUCCUGUUCGCUGCG